UAGCAAUUAUACCGCGAAACUGCGAAUGGCUCAUUAUAUAAGUUAUCGUUUAUUUGAUAAUACUUUACUACUUGGAUAACCGUGGUAAUUCUAGAGCUAAUACAUGCUGAAAAUCCCGACUUCGGAAGGGAUGUAUUUAUUAGAUUAAAAACCAAUGCCCCUCGGGGCUCUCUGGUGAAUCAUGAUAACUAGUCGAAUCGACAGGCCUUGUGCCGGCGAUGGCUCAUUCAAAUUUCUUCCCUAUCAACUUUCGAUGUUUGGGUAUUGGCCAAACAUGGUGGCAACGGGUAACGGAGGGUUAGGGCUCGACCCCGGAGAAGGAGCCUGAGAAACGGCUACUACAUCCAAGGAAGGCAGCAGGCGCGCAAAUUACCCAAUCCCGACACGGGGAGGUAGUGACAAUAAAUACUGAUACAGGGCUCUUUUGGGUCUUGUAAUCGGAAUGAGUACAAUUUAAAUCCCUUAACGAGGAACAAUUGGAGGGCAAGUCUGGUGCCAGCAGCCGCGGUAAUUCCAGCUCCAAUAGCGUAUAUUAAAGUUGUUGUGGUUAAAAAGCUCGUAGUUGAACCUUGGGCCUGGCUGGCCGGUCCGCCUCACCGCGUGCACUGGUCCGGCCGGGCCUUUCCCUCUGCGGAACCCCAUGCCCUUCACUGGGUGUGGCGGGGAAACAGGACUUUUACUUUGAAAAAAUUAGAGUGCUCAAGGCAGGCCUAUGCUCGAAUACAUUAGCAUGGAAUAAUAGAAUAGGACGUGUGGUUCUAUUUUGUUGGUUUCUAGGACCGCCGUAAUGAUUAAUAGGGACAGUCGGGGGCAUCAGUAUUCAAUUGUCAGAGGUGAAAUUCUUGGAUUUAUUGAAGACUAACUACUGCGAAAGCAUUUGCCAAGGAUGUUUUCAUUAAUCAGGAACGAAAGUUAGGGGAUCGAAGACGAUCAGAUACCGUCGUAGUCUUAACCAUAAACUAUGCCGACUAGGGAUCGGACGAUGUUACAUUUUUGACGCGUUCGGCACCUUACGAGAAAUCAAAGUGCU
rnacentral:rRNA from 1 species